UUAAGUUCAGCGGGUAUUCCUACCUGAUCCGAGGUCAACGUUCAGAAAGUCGGGGGUUUUACGGCGUGGCCGCGCCGCGCUCCAGUGCGAGUUGAUAACUACUGCGCAGGGGAGGCUGCGGCGGGACCGCCACUGUAUUUGGGGGACGGCGCCGCGCGGGGCGGGCCGAUCCCCAACACCAGGCUCCGACCGCGCGAGGC
rnacentral:misc_RNA from 1 species